GAGUGCGGUAGGGGAGAUUGGAAUUCCUGGUGUAGCGGUGGAAUGCGCAGAUAUCAGGAGGAACACCGAUGGCGAAGGCAGAUCUCUGGGCCGUUACUGACGCUGAGGAGCGAAAGGGUGGGGAGCAAACAGGCUUAGAUACCUGGUAGUCCACCCGUAAACGUUGGGAACUAGUUGUGGGGACCAUUCCACGGUUUCCGUGACGCAGCUAACGCAUUAAGUUCCCCGCCUGGGGAGUACGGCCGCAAGGCUAAAACUCAAAGGAAUUGACGGGGACCCGCACAAGCGGCGGAGCAUGCGGAUUAAUUCGAUGCAACGCGAAGAACCUUACCAAGGCUUGACAUAUACGAGAACGGGCCAGAAAUGGUCAACUCUUUGGACACUCGUAAACAGGUGGUGCAUGGUUGUCGUCAGCUCGUGUCGUGAGAUGUUGGGUUAAGUCCCGCAACGAGCGCAACCCUCGUUCUAUGUUGCCAGCACGUAAUGGUGGGAACUCAUGGGAUACUGCCGGGGUCAACUCGGAGGAAGGUGGGGAUGACGUCAAAUCAUCAUGCCCCUUAUGUCUUGGGCUUCACGCAUGCUACAAUGGCCGGUACAAUGGGCUGCAAUACCGUGAGGUGGAGCGAAUCCCAAAAAGCCGGUCCCAGUUCGGAUUGAGGUCUGCAACUCGACCUCAUGAAGUCGGAGUCGCUAGUAAUCGCAGAUCAGCAACGCUGCGGUGAAUACGUUCCCGGGUCUUGUACACACCGCCCGUCAAGUCAUGAAAGUCGGUAACACCUGAAGCCGGUGGCCUAACUACGUAGUGGAGGCAGCCGUCGAAUAUCCAUACGCCUCGCCC
rnacentral:rRNA from 1 species